CAGCCGCCGCGGUAAUACGAAGGGUGCAAGCGUUAAUCGGAAUUACUGGGCGUAAAGCGCGCGUAGGUGGUUCAUUAAGUUGGAUGUGAAAGCCCUGGGCUCAACCUGGGAACUGCAUCCAAAACUGGUGAGCUAGAGUACGGUAGAGGGUAGUGGAAUUUCCUGUGUAGCGGUGAUAUGCGUAGAUAUAGGAAGGAACACCAGUGGCGAAGGCGACUACCUGGACUGAUACUGACACUGAGGUGCGAAAGCGUGGGGAGCAAACAGGAUUAGAUACCCGCGUAGUCCCUGUCUCUUAUAC
rnacentral:rRNA from 1 species